GAAAAUCUUAGGAAACGUACCGACAAUGUAAAUGAUGAAGAGAAGAAUCUCGUCUAACCAAAAGGUUUUUAUCGUCUCGCUUCGAAAAAAGAUUAGAGACAGUCAAUACAUCGGGCAGGGUUAUCGCAUCCUCUCUUGUCAAGAGCUGUACUUUGUCAUAAACGCCCAACAGAGUUUUAGCUUUUAUAUAAAAAGGGGACGGUAAAGUCGGUGCGUUAGCAGUAUAUAAUGGAUACCGUCGCCAUGUACGCGUUUACCGAUUUAAGGAAACUGACUUCAAAAAUUUGAGAAGCUGAGUUCCUAGUUUCUACUUGAAUUUUUUACAAGAUAUAAAUAUAUAAUAUAAAGAAUUUAUCUGGUCCAAAAAUUUGACGUAACUAUUGGAAACGAUAAUAUAACUACAACCUGGUAUUUUCAUCUGUAUGGAAAUCUACAACCAACUAAUUUACAAACAAGUCAAGAAAACUAUCCAUGGAAACGGUAAUCUUAAUUAUAAUGUCCAUACGGCUAAACGAGACACGGAUACACGGAUGAAAAAUAUAUUUUAUGUUGAAAGGGAUAUGAAGCAUCAGUAAAUAUAUUUAAUUUUGUUAAU